CCUACGGGUGGCAGCAGUGGGGAAUAUUGGACAAUGGGCGAAAGCCUGAUCCAGCCAUGCCGCGUGUGUGAAGAAGGCCUUCGGGUUGUAAAGCACUUUCAGUGGGGAAGAAAGCCUUGGGGCUAAUACCCUCGAGGAAGGACAUCACCCACAGAAGAAGCACCGGCUAACUCCGUGCCAGCAGCCGCGGUAAUACGGAGGGUGCGAGCGUUAAUCGGAAUUACUGGGCGUAAAGCGCGCGUAGGCGGUCUGAUAAGCCGGUUGUGAAAGCCCCGGGCUCAACCUGGGAACGGCAUCCGGAACUGUCAGGCUAGAGUGCAGGAGAGGAAGGUAGAAUUCCCGGUGUAGCGGUGAAAUGCGUAGAGAUCGGGAGGAAUACCAGUGGCGAAGGCGGCCUUCUGGACUGACACUGACGCUGAGGUGCGAAAGCAUGGGUAGCAAACAGGAUUAGAUACCCGAGUAGUC
rnacentral:rRNA from 1 species